CAAUCCUAAGGACCAAAGGGGGUCAUCCUAGACACCACUCUCCAAGUCCCUUCCCACCAGUAUUUUCGGAAAUGCAGAAGGGCGUCCACAAGAACGAGUUCGACAGACUGCACGUUACAUGGAAAGGGUGCUGGCAGGGAUUCGGAAGUCACACUCUAUUUUCCAGUGACGCUGACCUGGAAGGAAGCGGCCAUUCCUCUGUGUGGUAUAUUCCAUCUCUAGUGACCCGAGUUUUCAACUGUGAGGACGUUUAGUCAUCAGCGGCAUUUGUGGACACUGUGGAGAGGCGCAGAGGGGCCUGAAUGGAUGUCACCCCGUGCUUCGCCUGAAACUUAAAUGAAUCCGAGGACUCAAAGGGACAAUGAGAAGCGUUACCUGAGGCAAGAAGCCACCUGCACUCCUUGAGGGAUGCUGUUCUCAUGUGUCCUGCCAGUUUGUACCAAGGGCAUUCAGCACAAAUACCUCCCCCAGCUCCCUUACUCGAGGAGAACCCCUCUGUGCUCUCAAACGGGCAAAUCAGGAAGAAAUAGCAGGGUAACUGAGUUAUCCCAAGACACAGCUCCUGCAUCUGAUCAUGGCAUGUUUUUAAGUACAUUAUGGAAACAGUAGCAUCCCUGAGGCCAUGCAACAGAACAGAGACAUUCAUGCUUCAAAGGCGAGAUGUGAAGGAAAGGUGGCGUGCAGGUGUCAGCUGACGAAGGACACUGGACACCGAGCAGGAUACAUGAUGUAAAGUCUUCCCAGAAUGUGGACAGUUGCUGGAGUGGGAUAAAUGAGCUGUGCACUCUUCC